GAUGAACGCUGGCGGCGUGCUUAACGCAUGCAAGUCGAACGAAGCACUUUAUUUGAUUUCCUUCGGGACUGAUUAUUUUGUGACUGAGUGGCGGACGGGUGAGUAACGCGUGGGUAACCUGCCUUGUACAGGGGGAUAACAGUUGGAAACGGCUGCUAAUACCGCAUAAGCGCACGGCAUCGCAUGAUGCAGUGUGAAAAACUCCGGUGGUAUAAGAUGGACCCGCGUUGGAUUAGCUAGUUGGUGAGGUAACGGCCCACCAAGGCGACGAUGCAUAGCCGACCUGAGAGGGGGACCGGCCACAAUGGAACUGAGACACAGCCCAAAAUCGGACGGGAGGGAGCGGUGUGGAAUAUUGCACAAUGAGCGAAAGCAUGAUGCAGCGACGUCGCGUGAGAGAAGAAGUAGUUCGGUAUGUAAAGCUCUAUCAGCAGGGAAGAUAAUGACGGUACCUGACUAAGAAGCACCGGCUAAAUACGUG
rnacentral:rRNA from 1 species